GCAGUAUCCUAACUGUGCUAAGGUAGCAUAAUCAUUAGUCUUUUAAUUGAGGACUGGUAUGAAUGGCUAAACGAGAAAAUGACUUUUUUUGUUAUAAAAAUCGAAUUUAAUUUUUUAGUGAAAAAGCUAAAAUUUUUCAGAAAGACGAGAAGACCCUAUAGAGUUUUAUAUCCUAUAAUAUUUAUUCUAAUUUGAUUUCUAAAGACUAAAUAUAUAAAAGAUAUUUUGUUGGGGCGACAUUAAGAUAAAUAAAACUCUUUAUUUUUAUAAUUUCUAUAGAAAUAUAUUAUGAUCCUCUAUAAGGGAUCAAAAGAAAAAAUUACCUUAGGGAUAACAGCGUAAUCUUUUUUGAGAGUUCUAAUCGACAAAAAGGUUUGCGACCUCGAUGUUGGACUAAAAUUUAGGCAAGGUGCAGCAGUUUUGCUUUAAGGUCUGUUCGACCUAUA
rnacentral:rRNA from 1 species